rnacentral:rRNA from 1 species
GACGAACGCUGGCGGCGUGCUUAACACAUGCAAGUCGAACGGAAAGGCCCUGCUUUUGUGGGGUGCUCGAGUGGCGAACGGGUGAGUAACACGUGAGUAACCUGCCCUUGACUUGGGGAUAACUUCAGGAAACUGGGGCUAAUACCGGAUAGGAGCUCCUGCUGCAUGGUGGGGGUGGGAAAGUUUCGGCGGGUGGGGAUGGACUCGGGGCUUAUCAGCUUGUUGGUGGGGUAGUGGCUUACCAAGGCCUUGACGGAUAGCCGGCCUGAGAGGGUGACCGGCCACACUGGGACUGAGAUACGGGCCAGCCUCCUACGGGAGGCAGCAGUGGGGAAUAUUGCACAAUGGGCGGCAGCCUGAUGCAGCAACGCCGCGUGCGGGAUGACGGCCUUCGGGUUGUAAACCGCUUUCGCCUGUGACGAAGCGUGAGUGACGGUAAUGGGUAAAGAAGCACCGGCUAACUACGUG